GAUGAAGAACGUAGCGAAAUGCGAUACGUAAUGUGAAUUGCAAAUUCAGUGAAUCAUCGAGUCUUUGAACGCACAUUGCGCCCCCUGGUAUUCCGGGGGGCAUGCCUGUCCGAGCGUCAUUGCUGCCCUCAAGCACGGCUUGUGUGUUGGGCCCCCGCCCCCCGGUUCCCGGGGGGCGGGCCCGAAAGGCAGCGGCGGCACCGCGUCCGGUCCUCGAGCGUAUGGGGCUUCGUCACCCGCUCCGUAGGCCCGGCCGGCGCCCGCCGGCGACCCCCCCCUCAAUCCUUCCAGGUUGACCUCGGAUCAGGUAGGGAUACCCGCUGAACUUAAGCAUAUCAAUAAGCGGAGGA
rnacentral:misc_RNA from 1 species